GAUGGGGACAGACACAAUCAGCCUCCUGUGGUCUCCCAGGAUUUGGCUCAGUGGCUACAACACAUCAUUGCACACUUGAAUACGGCAGGACCUGAAUGCCUUUAGCCCAAGACCCUUUUAUUACCUUUCCUUUAUGCAUCCUAUAAUUUGAAAUAUUGUCUCCACCAAAUUAUUCCUUCCCAGCAUUUCUGGAGAAAGAAAUGUAAUGAAAUAUUAUUCAGUAAAAUCCCACAGUAAACAAGAACACACAGUGCUAACUUAGUCCUGGUGUUCAUCAGUUAUUACUGCUCUGUUUUAAGAAGACGAAGGUCACCCAGGCUGGAGCACAGUGGCGUGAUCUCGGCUCACUGCAACCUCCGCCUCCCAGGUUCAAAUGAUUCUCCUGCCUCAGCCUCCUGAGUAGCUGGGAUUUCAGAUGCCCACCACCACAAUCCAGGUGGUGUUCUGGAAGAAAAGGGAAAUAAAAGGCCUGUGUCCUGCUUCUCCACCGGAGCUUGCCAAGUCCAGCAGUGUCCUGGUGUGGAUGAGAAAUUACACACUCGUCCUAUUCUUAGCCCAGGGGCCUCUGUGCUGAAAUUAGUGAGGUCAUGUAAUUGAUCUAAGACAGCAGAGCCAGAAGUAAAGGCACUGAAGUUUAAAGCAGACCUGUGAUUUCCAACCCUUAGCUCUUUCCUGUCCCAUUUUCCCCUGUCC
rnacentral:lncRNA from 1 species